UGGCUCUGAGAGACCCCCUGGCAGCUUGGGUCCAGGGGGUUCAGUUGUACUGUGAUUCCACCCCCAAUGGGGAGGGCACAGCCCUGGCCUGACUCUAGGGAGGAAGGGGUACUCUGAAGGUUCAAUCCCAGGAACUCAAUUUGUGGGCAGAUGGAUAACUCAGCAGGAAACUCGUAACACUUUUCCUGGCCAACUAUGAACAAGUGGUCCAAGAUAAGGCCCAGCUACCAGGCUAUAAGGAGCCACCUUUGGACCUGACAGACUGCAUCAAGUGGAGAGUUUGCUUUUGAAACUGGAUGUGGUGACUUCAUGGGGCUUUGGAUGUACCUUUCAGCUGGGGGAA